rnacentral:rRNA from 1 species
AUGGUCUGUAAUUCUGAAAAGAUCAUCUCCAUUCAGGUGCAAAAUCAUAGAAAAGUGAGAACGCACUCUCUCAACAUCGCAUACAUGGGUGACAAGAGUUUUGUUCCCAACUCCAGCAUCACCAAUGAUUGGAAGCACGGCCAGAGAACCUGGGGUGUUGUGGUGCAGCAAGAACCUGAUGAUCUGCUGCUUCUCGACAUGGCGGCCAAAUAUGAAGUUGUCGAUGUAAAGAUAUGCAUCAUAGGGUCUACGGGAGAUGCGCUCGCAUCCGCCCAAAAGGAUGACAAACUCCGCCAUGUUAGCAACACCGGCCUCUAG